GAUGAACGCUGGCGGCGUGCCUAAUACAUGCAAGUCGAGCGAACGGACGAGAAGCUUGCUUCUCUGAUGUUAGCGGCGGACGGGUGAGUAACACGUGGAUAACCUACCUAUAAGACUGGGAUAACUUCGGGAAGCCGGAGCUAAUACCGGAUGAUAUUUUGAACCGCAUGGUUCAAAAGUGAAAGACGGUCUUGCUGUCACUUAUAGAUGGAUCCGCGCUGCAUUAGCUAGUUGGUAAGGUAACGGCUUACCAAGGCAACGAUGCAUAGCCGACCUGAGAGGGUGAUCAGCCACACUGGAACUGGGACACGGUCCAGACUCCUACGGGAGGCAGCAGUAGGGAAUCUUCCGCAAUGGGCGAAAGCCUGACGGAGCAACGCCGCGUGAGUGAUGAAGGUCUUCGGAUCGUAAAACUCUGUCAUUAGGGAAGAACAUAUGUGUAAGUAACUGUGCACAUCUUGACGGUACCUAAUCAGAAAGCCACGGCUAACUACGU
rnacentral:rRNA from 1 species